AAACAAGAGAACCCAAGCAAGGGCUGGACUCCUGCUGCAGACAGGGAGCAGAGCACCGCACCUUGAAAUACGGAGAAAAACCUGAAAACGCUAAGAGGUGGAGUGACAACUUGCAUUCAGCUGUUUCAGAAACAUUGUUGACCACCUACUCAAUGUGAAGAUGACGAAGAUGAAAGCCUUUAUGAUGAUCUACUUCCACUUAAUAAAUGGACUAUUUUUCUUUCCUGCCCCAUACCAAUAAGAAACAAGGAUGCAACAACAACAAUGACAACAGACCUAAGUGGAAUCUUGGAAGCAUGCUUGCAAAGCUCAUGCUUCCCCCUGCAUAAGCUAGCUAAGACAAGGCACGGGGUAGGAGGAAAAGAGACAAGAUUGUGACUCAAAAGUGUAGAUGGAGGAUUCACCAGGACAGACCCAGGAAGGUGGGAUCCUCACCAUGCUAGAAAAAGAACAUCCAUCUCAAGGGAAACCAGCUGCCAUGCAUGAGGAUACUCCAGCAGCUUAUGGAGAAGUCCAUGUGGUGAGGAACUGGGGUCGGUCCACAACCACCUGAGUGAACCUGAAAGUGGAUCUUCCCCUCACUCAAGCAUUGAGUUGACUGCUGGCCCAACCAACAGUUUGUCUGCAACUUCAUGAGAGACCCUGACUCAGAAGCACUCAAUUAACUCAUGAAAACGACUCCAAUAUGAAUGGUGAAUGUAAUUUAAUGUGUCAUGGAAAUGCAGAGCUGUAGAACUGAUUAUUUUUCCCAGUAUAAAUGGAAGAGCUCUAAUCUACAAGUGGAGGUGAAGCAUCCCCAGUGGCCAGGAGGACAACCUUGCCCAGUGACCUUUCCUAGAAGAAGGUAUCGAAGUGCUAAGAUGAGGAUUUCCACAAAUUUCUGCUCAGGCAACACCACCCAUCAUCAACUGAGUUAAUGCCCAUCCCUAAAUGUGUGUAACAUGGGCAAAGUGAAUUUUUUCUUUCUCUGUCAUGCUCACUUCCCACUUACCUGCUAGAGUAAGAGUAUACUAGCAUAUUAUUUAGACAUCUAGUUUUUAAUAAUAUUCAUUUUCAUACAACAUGACCACAAAGAAGAAACUGUUAUAUCUUAUAAUGGAAGAAAAUCUGACUGUGGAGAAGUUAGUGAGAAAUGGUACAUCUGCAUUAUGCUUUAUGGGUGAUUUAAAGGAUUUUCAAAUAUUAUUUUGACUACAGGUAAAAUAACUGUAUAAUUUAUCAUACAAAUUUGAAAGCAUUUGAGUCAGACAGGAUAUUAAUGAUAAUUAGGCUGAAAUGACAGGCAUAAAUGAAGAGCCUUCUGGUAAAUUAAAAUGUAGUACCAUCCUAAAUAUUAUGGGCUGAACUGUGUUUCCCUCAAAUUUAUAUGUUGAAGUUCUAAGUCUCUGAUAUGGUUUGGCUGUGUCCCCACCCAAAUCUCACCUUGAAUUGUAAUAAUCCCCACAUGUCGUAGGAGGAACCUGGUGGGAGGUAAUUGAAUCAUGGGGGAUAGAUUUUCCCAUGCUGUUCUAUUGAGAGUAAGUCUCAUGAGAUCAGAUGGUUUUAUAAAGAGCAGUUUCCCUACACAUGCUCCCUCUUGCCUGCUGCCAUAUAAGACACGCCUUUGGUUUUCCUUCACCUUCCACCAUGAUUGUGAGGCCUCCCUAGACAUGCAGAACCAUGAGUCCAUUGCACUUAUUUUUCUUUAUAAAUUACCCAGUCUUGAAUAUGUCUUUAAAUAGCAGUGUGAGAACAUACUAAUACAGUUUCCAUAGUCUCCAUACCUCAGAAUAUGACUAUAUGUUGGAAUAGGGCAUUUAAAGAGAUAGUUAAGGUGAAAUGAGAUCAUGAGGGUUGGCCCUAAUCCAAUAUGGUUGGUGUCCUUAUAAGAAAAGGAAAUUAGGACACAGACAUGCACAUGCACAGAGGUAAGACCAUUUGAAGACAAUAUGAGAUUAUGACCAUCUACAAGCCAAGGACAAAGGUCCCAGAAGAACUCCAACCUGCAGACACCUAAAUUUUGGACUUCCAGCCUCCAGAACAUGGAGAAAAUUAAUUUCUUUUGUUUAACUCAGCCAGUCUGUGGUAUUUUUUGAUGGCAGCUAUAGCAAACUAGCAUACUAAUGAUAGUGAUUUUCAUUUUAACCAUCAGCCUUGAAACUAAUCACAUCAUAAGUUGAGGCUCUGCCAUAACAUCAGUUAAGUCCUGAGGCCAUUUGGUUGAAUAAUUGAUAAACUGCUUGAAGCAUGACCCUACGAAUAGCCCUAACCAUCCAUCUCAAGGCAGAGAUAUUUUAUCUUGUUUUAUUGCCUAACAGCACUAAAAAAAGAAAAAAAUCUUGGUUCCAUUCCAAGAUGGCCAAAUAGAAACAGCUCCGGUCUGCAGCUCCCAGUGUGAUCGACGCAGAAGAUGGGUGACUUCUGCAUUUCCAACUGAGGUACCUGGUUCAUAUCAUUGGGACUGGUUGGACAGUGGGUGCAGCCCACGGAGGGCAAGCCAAAGCAGGGUGGGACGUCGCCUCACCCAGGAAGUGCAAGGGGUCAGGAGAUUUCCCUUUCCUAGCCAAAGGAAGCCAUGAUAGACUGUACCUGGAAAAAUGGGACACUCUCACCCAAAUACUGCAAUUUUCCCACAGUCUUAGCAACUGGCAGACCAGGAGAUUCUCUCCUGUGCCUGGCUCAGUGGGUCCCAUGACCAUGUAGCCUUGCUCACUGCUAGUGCAGCAGUCUGGGAUUGCCUUGCAAGGCUGCAGCCUGGCAGGGGGAGGGAUGUUCACCAUUGCUGAGGCUUGAGCAGGUAAACAAAGCAGCCAGGAAGCCUGAACUGGGCGGAGCCCACCACAGCUCAGCAAGGCCUGCUGCCUCUAUAGAUUCCACCUCUGUGGGCAGGGCAUAGCUGAACAAAAGGCAGCAGAAACUUCUACAGACUUAAACGUCCCCGUCUGACAGCUCUGAAGAGAGCAGUGGUUCUCCCAGCACAGCAUUUGAGCUCUGAGAACAGACUGCCUCCUUAAGCGGGUCCCUGAUCCCCAUGUACCCAAACUGGGAGACACCUCCCAGUAAGGGCUGACAGACACUUCAUACAGGUGGGUGCCCCUCUGGGAUGAAGCUUCCAGAGGAAGGAUCAGACAGCAACAUUUGCUGUUCUGCAAUAUUAGCUGUUCUGUAGCCUCCUCUGGUGAUACCCAGGCAAACAGGGUCUGAAGUGGACCUCCAGCAAACUCCAACACACCUGCAGCUGAGGGAUCUGACUGUUAGAAGGAAAACUAACAAACAGAAAGGAAUAGCAUCAACAUCAACAAAAAGGACAUCCAACCAAAACCCCAUCUGUAGGUCACCAACAUCACAGACCAAAGGUAGAUAAAACCACAAAGAUGGGGAGAAACCAGAGCAGAAAAGCUGAAAACUCUAAAAACCAGAGCACCUCUUCUCCUCCAAAGGAUCGCAGCUCCUCACCUGUAAUGGAACAACGCUGGAUGGAGGAUGACUUUGACGAAUUGACAGAAGUAGGCUUCAGAAGGUCAGUAAUAACAAACUUCUCUGAGCUAAAAGAGCAUGUUCUAACCCAUUGCAAGGAAGGUAAAAACCUUGAAAAAAGGUUAGACGAAUGGCUAACUAGACUAAACAGUGUAGAGAAGACCUUAAAUGAUGUGAUGGAGCUGAACACCAUGGCACAAGAACUUCAUGAUGCAUACACAAGCUUCAAUAGCUGAUUUGAUCAAGUGGAAGAAAGGAUAUCAGUGAUUGAAGAUCAAAUUAAUGAAAUAAAGCAAGAAGACAAGAUUAG